CCUACGGGGGGCAGCAGUGAGGAAUAUUGGUCAAUGGACGAGAGUCUGAACCAGCCAAGUAGCGUGAAGGAUGACUGCCCUAUGGGUUGUAAACUUCUUUUAUCUGGGAAUAAAACGUUCCACGUGUGGGAUUUUGUAUGUAACAUAUGAAUAAGGAUCGGCUAACUCCGUGCCAGCAGCCGCGGUAAUACGGAGGAUCCGAGCGUUAACCGGAUUUAUUGGGUUUAAAGGGAGCGUAGGUGGAUUGUUAAGUCAGUUGUGAAAGUUUGCGGCUCAACCGUAAAAUUGCAGUUGAAACUGGCAGUCUUGAGUACAGUAGAGGUGUGCGGAAUGCGUGGUGUAGCGGUGAAAUGCUUAGAUAUCACGAAGAACUCCGAUUGCGAAGGCAGUUCACUGGACUGCAACUGACACUGAGGCUCGAAAGUGUGGGUAUCAAACAGGAUUAGAUACCCCUGUAGUC
rnacentral:rRNA from 1 species